AAUCACACUCACCUGCUGCUGACCAGCCUCACAGGGAGCUAUUUAACUGAAGGGCUGAGCUCCAGUUGAUGCAACAAGAAGCCAAAUAUUCGAGUGUGUGUUUACUGUGGAUGGCACUAACGCUGCCCCUGUGAUUUCCAGGAGUGUUGUAUAUAGACAUGGACACCGGGAGAGGAACACAAGGAGGGGAAGGAGCGCUACGAGAGGACGAGCUCCUCGGACACCGAGAGCUCCAGCAGCAGCAGACGUCGGUCAGCAGGUGGUCCGCGCUGCUCUCUGAUGGCGUGUUUGGUGGUUUCUGGGUGACGCUGGGAGCACUUCCUGUUGUUUGAACAGAGGCUAAAUAUUCCCGCUCCGAGAGCCGAGCAGAGAGGGACCGCAUGGAGCUGCUGCAGCCAUGAGCAUCUGGACUUCAACACCAACACGCUGACAGACAUCAUCGCCAUGGUUACGUCACCGUGUUUAAGAGUUCCCCUGUUUUCAGCUGCUGGUGAUGUCAAGUUCUGCUU